rnacentral:rRNA from 1 species
UACGGGGGGGGCAAGCGUUGGUUCGGAAUUACUGGGCGUAAAGGGCUCGUAGGCGGCCAACUAAGUCGGACGUGAAAUCCCUCAGCUUAACUGGGGACUGCGUCUGAUACUGGAUGGCUUGGAUUCGGGAGAGGGAUGCGGAAUUCCAGGUGUAGCGGUGAAAUGCGUAGAUAUCGGGAGGAACACCAGUGGCGAAGGCGGGUCUCUGGGCCGAUACUGACGCUGAGGAGCGAAAGCGUGGGGAGCGAACAGG